rnacentral:misc_RNA from 1 species
GGAAGGAUCAUUCCUUUAUAAUUUUUUAACAAGUUGAACUCUUACUGUAUUUUACUAUUCUUUUUACUUUUUCUAUACAAAAAACCAAAACAACUAUUGGCAACGGAUACCUCGGUUCUCACUACGAUGAAGAACGCAGCGAAACGCGAUAAUUAGUGCGAAUUGCAGAAUUCAGUGAAUCAUCGAGUCUUUGAACGCAAGUUGCGCCUUUGGGAUAUUCCUGGGGGCAUGCCUCUUUCAGUGUCGGUUAAAAACACAAGCCCUUGCUGGUUUGGAAAAUGAGCAUCUUGUAUGUUGCUUUAAGUUUUGUUGUUAUUGUUAUAGACAAGUAAUUCUCUAUAAAUAACUCCCCUAAGAAAAGACCUGAGAGAGGUAAGAUUACCCGCUGAACUUAAGCAUAUCACUAGGCGGAGGAAAAGAAACUAAACAGGAUUUCCCCAGUAACGGCGAGUGAAAAGGAAAGAGCCCAACCCGAAAAUCUUUUUUAAGAGUUGUGGGUUUUGAAGGCAAGGUCAGUGUGGUGCCCUGGUUUAAGUGUGUUGGAAUGCACUGGCAGAGAGGGUGAGACUCCCGUUUUGGGCUAGGAUUUCCAUACGUACGACCUGUCUUUCUAGAGUAGGUUUGCUUGAGAGUGCAGACUGAAGUGGGAGGUAAAUUCCUUCCAAGGCUAAAUAUCAGUGAGAGACCGAUAGCGCACAAGUACCGUGAGGGAAAGGUGAAAAGGACUUUGAAAAGAGAGUCAAAAAGUACUUGAAAUUGUCAGUAUACAAGCGAUAGAGACUAGUGCAUGGCUGUUCCACCAUUUUACAAAAAAAGUGAGUGCAGCCAGAGUCAAGGUUAAUUUGCUCUACUAUAAAGUCUGGGUAGCCUAUUCUUUGGAAUAGUUGAUGAGACUUUUUUUUUGUUGCAGAUCCGACAUUGACGAAAUGGUCUUUAUCGACCCGUCUUGAAACACGGACCAAGGAGUCUGACGUAUGGGCAAGUCAAAGGGUGGAAAACCCCGAGGCGCAAUGAAAGUAAAUGAGGUGUGCGACUAUUUGAUAGUUACAACAUCGCCCGGCAGUUCAGUUAUGUUCUGUACGAGGUUGAGCCUGUCCGUUAGGACCCGAAAGAUGGUGAACUAUGCCUGAGCAGGGUGAAGCCAGGGGAAACUCUGGUGGAAGCUCGAAGCGAUACUGACGUGCAAAUCGUUCGUCGGACUUGGGUAUAGGGGCGAAAGACUAAUCGAACCAUCUAGUAGCUGGUUCCCUC